GUGAAAGUGGAUCACAUGAAAAGUAUACAAUUCAUUAACCUAAAACAAAAUAGACUGACAACAUUUGGGAAAGAAGCACAAAUGUCUUUGACAAAAUUGUUUCAAAUAACAAAUCUUUCCAUCGAUUUAUCGGGAAAUCAGUUUCUUUGCUCUUGUGACAGUGUACACUUUCUGGAAUGGAUUACUGGUUAUCGGAACCGUGUUGUACAUUUUAACCGUUACGAAUGUUCAUCCACAAGCUCACAUAAAUUUAAUUUUUCGGACGCUGAUAAUUCUUUAAAGUUACUGAAGAAGAACUGCAAAUCUUAUCUAGUUAUAUAUAUAGUCACUUCAGUAGCAGUAGCUAUUAUGUUUAGUAUUAUCUUCGGCAUUUUUCUCUUGAAAAAUAAGUGGAAAAUUCGAUACGUGAUUUAUAGAUUCAAACAACGUUUCAAAACAUAUACAGGGCAUUCAAUAAUCCCUCAGGCAGACUCUCCUUCUUAUGAAUAUGAUAUUAUGAUUUCAUAUUCUGCAAAAGAACUAUCAUUCGUCCUUACCGAUGUGAUUCCUCGACUUGAAAACGAGGCUGGUUUUCAGUUGUAUAUCAAGGACCGCGAUGAACCAGCGGGAAUUUCUUGUGGAGAAGCCAUUAUGGAAGCUAUUCAAAAAAGUAAAAGAGUUGUAUGUCUUGUGACAAAAAGUUUUCUAAAAUCCACAUGGCAAGACUACGAAUUAAAUAUGUCAAGGAUGGAAGCUAUCGAGGACAGAGAAAAUUUGAAUUUUGUCCACUUAAUCAUAUUUCCUGAUGUUUGCAAUGGAUCUAUUUCCAUUCAAACCUUAGAUCUCGUUAGACAAGAAUGUUUUUCCGAGUAUCCAGAGGAAGAAGUGUGCGUUUGAUGAUUUUUGGGAGACAUUGAUAGCCCAUAUAAAAGAACUCAACCGACAUUAAUAUGAUUAGAUCUACUUUUGUUUCUUUAUUGUGUGUGUGUGUUUCGUUGUAUUUAUAUUAAUACUUGUUUGUAAUUAUAUUGAACUAAAAUUGCACACAGCUUAUGAAAACGAAGAGUGUAGAUUUAGUGGACCAAGUUAAAAAAAAGGAAAGUAUCAAUUUAUGAUAUGUACGGAAGUUUUGAAAUAUUUUUUAUACUGUCAUGAAACAGUUAAACAUGUAUGAACGAUUAUCUCUUUUAUGAAUCACGUCAUUAAGGGAGAUGCGAAACAGGUUGAUUCCCCCCUUUUUAAAAAAAAACAUUGAGCAACACAUAAACACCUUUUUAUAAUGUCGUUUCAAUAAAUGUUUCU
rnacentral:misc_RNA from 1 species